rnacentral:lncRNA from 1 species
UAAAGCAGGUGGUGGCAAGAACAUAUUAAUCACAUAUCAUUUCAUCAGACAUCGAUCAAAUAGAACAAGUUUUUAUUUAACAUAUAACACAGUCCCUCAACAUCGAUCAACACACUCCAUAAUUCAAACUAGUAAAAAAAUCAGGUAACACAAAACAUAACAUCCCAGUUCACAUGCAUACAUACAAAGUACAUAUGACUUCACCACAAUUACUUGGGGACAUCAGUCAUCUUCACCCAGAAAUCUUAAUGGCUUUGACAUCAUGUUUCUUCACCUCCUCUUUGGGGACAAUUAAGUUAACACACCAUUCUCCAUGAUGGCCUUAAUCUGAUCCAUUUUGGCAUCUUUGACAACAUAAAUAGGCAUAGAAAUCUGUCGAAACUCUCUCUUACAGUGCCACAUAUCACUCUUCUCCUCUUUCUACCUGCUCUUCUCUCCACUAAUCUGCAGUAUUUUACCUUCAUCAACUUCAAUUUUCACUAACUCUUUCUUCAGCCCCGAAAGAUUCGCCUUGAACAAUUGGCUUUAUGGUGUCUCCUUCCAGUCAAUCCGAGUGGAAGCAAAUUGAGAUGUCUCAUUGGAAAGGUCAUAAGUUGUAAGAAAAAUGAAAUGUACUUCAAAAAUUGGAACCCAUUUCGAUUCUAGUGUCAACAAACUGAGGUGCUCUAUUCGUGUCUAUGGUUUCAAC